rnacentral:rRNA from 1 species
UGGGGAAUCUUCCGCAAUGGACGAAAGUCUGACGGAGCAACGCCGCGUGAGUGAUGACGGCCUUCGGGUUGUAAAGCUCUGUGAUCGGGGACGAAUGGCUGGUGUGCUAAUACUACAUCAGAGUGACGGUACCCGAAUAGCAAGCCACGGCUAACUACGUGCCAGCAGCCGCGGUAAUACGUAGGUGGCAAGCGUUGUCCGGAAUUAUUGGGCGUAAAGCGCGCGCAGGCGGCUUCUUAAGUCCAUCUUAAAAGUGCGGGGCUUAACCCCGUGAUGGGAUGGAAACUGGGAGGCUGGAGUAUCGGAGAGGAAAGUGGAAUUCCUAGUGUAGCGGUGAAAUGCGUAGAGAUUAGGAAGAACACCGGUGGCGAAGGCGACUUUCUGGACGACAACUGACGCUGAGGCGCGAAAGCGUGGGGAGCAAACAGGAUUAGAUACCCUGGUAGUCCACGCC